AUACCGCCCUCGCUAGCAUAGCUCGAAGAAAUUGGUGGAAUGCAGGAGAUCCAGAAGAUCAUCCGAUUGCACAGUUAUGUUAAAGCUUAAAGCUCAGCUUAGGCAUGCAAUAGGUACAGGCGAAUAGACUUUAUUCAUGUGAAAUCAUUCCCCUGCAUAGUUUCACUUACGGCACACGUAUAUAUAGAUUUUCGUGAUUUUCGCAAUCGCAGAGUGAAUGGUGAAGACACGUGGAGUUACAUAACUUCCAAUUUUUCACUAUUAUCUAAUCAUCCGCUGUUUAUAUGGAUUAAUAAAUCCGAAGAGUGGCGUUAGCUGAACUACCCGAGGGAAAAGUGAAAAUAAAGUGAAAUUCUUGAAAGAAGCAAAGGGAUAGGAGUACUGGAAAAUCUUAAUACAGCCAAGCCGGCCAACCAAUCUACGGUAUCAACUACUAAAACAACCAAGCUGACCGUUUGGGAGUUAGCGCAGUGCACAUCCACGGCGGCAAAGUGAAGGCUGAACCGUUGACGUUGGGCUAGCUCAAUAUCGGAAAUCAUUUACGGCUCGUGAAAGACCAACCACCAUACACCACUGCUGGACGUCCGAAUAUCAGUUUGAACCUGCCGAUCUCGUAAAAAAAAAAAGCCGGAGGACAUAAUCGUCACCAACCUACGAAAACUUACAAAGGAUUGAGUAAUUAGGCUAGCCUAAACCACAUUGCCUCAGAACCACUCUUGCUGUCAGCAGAUUUGUGUUUAUUUUGAUUCCCGUGUUUCUCAAAUUAAAUUUCAAGUGCAAGUUCCCGUUUGCCUUUAUCACUAUCACAUAAAAAUCUAUACGCUGCUGCUCUAAGAACCAGCUGAUUAGAUCCACAUAUUCAUAUCUCGUUUAUCAUUGUGUUGAUUAAUGUAGUAACUAAAUAGCUUCCUCCAAUGAGUAAAUUUGUAACGUAACUGACGAUUUU